rnacentral:misc_RNA from 1 species
UCUCCGUUGGUGAACCAGCGGAGGGAUCAUUAUCGAGUUUAUAACUCCCAAACCCUAUGUGAACUUACCACUUGUUGCUUCGGCGCGCGCUUCGGUGCCGCCGAGGACACUUAAACUCUUUGUUUUUAUAAGCAUUUCUGAGUGGCCGAAAGGCAAAAUACAAAUGGAUCAAAACUUUCAACAACGGAUCUCUUGGUUCUG